CCUACGGGAGGCAGCAGUGGGGAAUUUUGGACAAUGGGCGAAAGCCUGAUCCAGCAAUGCCGCGUGAGUGAAGAAGGCCUUCGGGUUGUAAAGCUCUUUUGUCAGGGAAGAAACGGUGAGGGCUAAUAUCCCUUGCUAAUGACGGUACCUGAAGAAUAAGCACCGGCUAACUACGUGCCAGCAGCCGCGGUAAUACGUAGGGUGCAAGCGUUAAUCGGAAUUACUGGGCGUAAAGCGUGCGCAGGCGGUUUUGUAAGUCUGUCGUGAAAUCCCCGGGCUCAACCUGGGAAUUGCGAUGGAGACUGCAAGGCUAGAAUCUGGCAGAGGGGGGUAGAAUUCCACGUGUAGCAGUGAAAUGCGUAGAGAUGUGGAGGAACACCGAUGGCGAAGGCAGCCCCCUGGGUCAAGAUUGACGCUCAUGCACGAAAGCGUGGGGAGCAAACAGGAUUAGAUACCCUGGUAGUCCACGCCCUAAACGAUGUCUACUAGUUGUCGGGUUUUAAUUAACUUGGUAACGCAGCUAACGCGUGAAGUAGACCGCCUGGGGAGUACGGUCGCAAGAUUAAAACUUAAGGAAUUGACGG
rnacentral:rRNA from 1 species